AGUAACACGUGGAUAACCUGCCUCAAGGCUGGGGAUAACAUUUGGAAACAGAUGCUAAUACCGAAUAAAACUUAGUAUCGCAUGAUAUCAAGUUAAAAGGCGCUACGGCGUCACCUAGAGAUGGAUCCGCGGUGCAUUAGUUAGUUGGUGGGGUAAAGGCUUACCAAGACGAUGAUGCAUAGCCGAGUUGAGAGACGGAUCGGCCACAUUGGGACUGAGACACGGCCCAAACUCCUACGGAAGGCAGCAG
rnacentral:rRNA from 1 species